rnacentral:lncRNA from 1 species
AUUGCUCCUUUGUUUUUAUUAUUUCAGUAAACACAGAAAAAGCUUGGGAUGUUCUCCUAGAAAAUACAUUUCAGAGGCUUCCUACCUUACACAUGUUGUGCCCUAUAUCAACAUAAACUACAGAAACUAGUUUUUUCAAAGGUAGACCUUUUUCCCCCCUUUUGCUCUUUGCUCUGACGACACACAAAACAAUUGUUAAUAAAGAUCUAGGUAUCAAGUGAAGAAAAACGGUACACUCUAUGCAUUUAAGCAGCAAUAUAUUCAAGCUAGUAUGUUGAGAGUACUUCAAGAAAUUAUACACAAACUCCACUGGAUUUCAGGAAGAGAUAAAUACCCUUCCCCAAGUAAAAACACCAACUGCAACAGUCUCGUUUCUCUUCUUAACUGAUGGGUCCAGAUCUGCUAACAAAUGUAACUAAUUAGUUUAAUACUCAGCUAAUGCAAGCUAAAAGAAUACAGAAACAUACUUUUAAUAACUGUAGCGACAAAUACUUUGAAUUCAUACAUACCACUGAUGGGGCCAAUGGAAUUGCUCAUAGCAUAUCGCAGAAUUUGUUCAUCUCUGUUAUACAGAACAAAUAUACUGUCCACUGAGAGCUGCUGAGUAGCAGAAGCAGCAUGGAGAGAGUCAUCAUGAAUGCAUUCAUCAAAGGAGAUGGUCUGUCGCCACUGAUAGGCACCAGUGUACGUGGAAGCAACCCCAUCCCUUUCUGGCUCUGUCACUGUGUACUCUCUGGUGGACGAUGAAGUGAUCACAGAACUAGAGGCGUGAUAGAGUUCAGUGUAAGGUUCAAUAUGGACUGAUGCGCCAGAAGGGACCUCAGGUACUCUGCCUUCCAUUUCUGUGCUGAUGGUAAGAUGACCGUGCUCAUCAAUUCCACUGAACUUCUGCUUUAUAACCAGCUUCUCGUUGUUGCCAAGAAAAGUGACUUCAGUUUGCCGUGUAAACUCCCCACCGGUAAUGCUGAAUCCAUUUUUAUAUCCUUGCUGCUCCACAGCAAAC